AUAUUCUGACAGAUAAUUAAGAAAGCAGCAGCUUUUUCUAGACGGCUCUUCCUCAUGAUUUGCAUUUUAGCCAGAGGCGACCAGUUAUAAAAAAAACAUGAUGGAAAGAUGGUAAGAAGCCAAUUAGAUGGAUGGAUGGCUGACUGACAGCUCUCUGGUAUUACGACUCCAGAUUUCAGACUACAUAGCCUGGCAGUUUUCUACAAGAACCAACUUUUUUGCAGAAGGUCAUACAUAUGCUAUUGGAGAGUUCACAGCUAGCCCCUCACUACUCAAAUUGUGGGUGUUAUUGCCAGACUGCGGAGAUGCACAAGAAUUGACUUGAGAAGCAAGGAGAUUAUUCAUGCUCCUGCACACUCUGUUAUCUCUGGGAGCUCUUAAUCAAUGCAGGCUCAAACCCUGGAGGGGUCAGAGGACUAACUGGGGCCAACAGCCAUUAGCGAGGUACCAAGAAGCACAAGCAAAGAAAGAAGGUAGAUAACUCAUCUAUCUUCAACAUGGUCCCCAGAAUGAAAGAAGUUCAAAGUUUUGGCUUUUACUCAGGAUUAGGUUUUUCAGUUACUAAAAUGAAGCUGUUAUUGGGACUAAAAAUUAACAUUUGUUUUCUGCAACAGCAAAAGAGCUAUAGAUAGUAGUUAAAAUUGUCUGAGAUUCUUUGGUCAGGUUCCUAGAAGCAGAGCUUAAGACAAGGUUCUUGUUUAAGUGAUUUUUGAUGAUAUCUCUCAGAAGAAAGUGAUUGGCGAAAAUGGAAUG
rnacentral:lncRNA from 1 species